rnacentral:lncRNA from 1 species
UAAGUAUAAACCGUUAUAUUUAAUUCAUAAAAAAAAUGUACGAAGUCGAUGUGUGAAUUAAUAUUCGAAUCCACGAUGUUUAAAAUAGGUAUACGCGUUAUAUUUACCGUACAAAGGGCGCGGAAUAUCGAUGUUUGAAAUAAUUAUAAUAAACCUUAUGUUUAUGUUAAACAAGCGUCGGGUUUCGUUAACUUAUACCUCGUUUUGGUAAAUCGUAGAUCGUCGUCAAAUAAAUAUAUAUUAUAUUUAUUUAAGAAAAAUAAAUAAACUCGAAUUGUUGAUAAGUGUCUUUUCUAGAAUGUAAUUACGUUUGUGUUACGGGUUUUUAGGAAAAACGGACAGAGUCUCCUCUGUUUUUGGACGAUCCCGACAAUAAAAGUUGUCGUAUUUUGUCAAAAUUCAACAAUCACUCAACAAUCAUUUUAUAAAUUUUACGUUAAAUAUAUCAAAACGUCAAAUACGAAACAAAAUCACUAAAUGUAUACCGUUAGUUAGUCGGGUCGAGCUCGGUUCGCGUAUACUAAAUAAAAUUAUGAAAUUUAUAUCAAUCUAAUCUAACUUUCGCGUCGUAAAACUUUACCGCGUCUCGUGUUGACUGAGUUGACUCGGGUUGACCGAGUUAACUCGGUUUGACCGAGUCGAUCCAAACUGUACCGAACCUCAAAUCUGACCGACUGACCGCGGCUGACCAACAUCCGAAACUGACCCGAGACUCGAACCCGCGGACCCGAAACUGAGUCUGACACUGUUUGACUUCUGUUAACCGAACCGAGACUUUAACCCGCACUAAAUCUGACCCGAGGUUAACCCGUACCAGAACUCGAAGUGAACCCGAACCUGCGACCGAAACCUGAACUAGAACAUCACCAUGUAUGCCGCCACCGCGUGGCGGCGGCGUGUCCUCUUCCGACGGUCGUCGUCAACGACCAGGCACCACCAUCAUCAUCAACAAUGUCAACAUCAGCAUAAAAAAAAAGAAAGGAAAAAAAAAUCAAAUUUCAUGUUGAUUAACAACUGAGAACUUUAGAGAUUUUUAAAAGAAAGAGAGCUGGGAGUGAAGGAUUCACCGGGAAAUACCGUCGUCAACGUUCACCACUGUCGUAUGCCACCGUCUUCGCCGUUAGCGGCGGAGCCGCUCCUGCUCCGUCGUUCCUCUCCGUCUCCCCUCUCUCCCUCUCCGUGCUUCUCUCUCUCUCUCUUCGAUCUGUCUCUCUCAUUCCGUCGUCGUGCCCCGCCGCGAGCGGCGGUUCUGGUUCCGUUGUCAUGAACAGUCGGCCGGUAAUCACCGGUUCUUCAGUGAGUUGAGGGGAUCUGUGUGUUGAUAUACAUAGAUCGAGAGAGGAGGGGAAGGCAGGCAAGGGUUUUAUGAUUUUGAUUUGUCUGUGUUUUGUAUUUUGAGAUGGUGGGGUGUGGAUAAGGUUAGAUAUAGAUGACAUAAAAUGAGAUAGGAGGCAAAUGAUGUAAACGGCUGAUGACAUGUGUAGAUUUAGGGUUAAUCUACUCUUAUAUACUUAGGGUUGUUUUAAUGGGCUUUGGGCUUGGGCCCAAGGCCCAUAAGCCCAACCUCGUGUUUUUAGUGGCCCGUCAGUUCCUACGAAACCCGUUAUAAAAACCCGAACUCUCCGUAACGUCAUAAAUUUUAAUUUUUGUUUUAAACACGUGAAACAUGAUCGGUAGUCGCAUUUGGCGUGUUUGUUUGUCGUUUACGAUAAUAAUCGCGUAAGAUCGCGUUGUUGCUGUUAUUAAUCCGGUUUCAACUACGGAUAUAGAAAUUUAAUUACGAAGCAAAAUAUAACGUAAAAUUUUCGUAUUGAAGGCAAUACGCGUCUCCGUUGUUUCCGUUUCGUUGUCGAUGCGUUCCUGCAGUCGCGUUUUUCGUUCACGUUUGCGCUUGGUGUCGUUCGAAAGCAUGGAUAUUUCGCAAAACGAAAUCCUUAUGUUUAAAUUAUAUGAAUACCGUUCGUAUUUGUCGGCGUUGUCAGUAUUUUGUACGGUGUCAGUUCGUUACCGUUUAAAGCUCAGCAGAUUUCCCAAAAAUUACCAUACGUGCACUGUAACGUCAGAUAAGCGUUCCUAGGCAUUCCAAUAGCCUAAUCGAGUUAAUUCGUGCCUUAAACAUUAUUUAUUACCGCCGUAAACGUUUGUUAAUUGCGUAAUUAGGAGCCGUUAAUUACCGGUUGUCACACUUCUGACGGUCACGGGCUGCCGCCAUGCAUUGUCGUAUCUGAGCAAUCUUCUCGGUUGUAUCUACUACGAGUUCUGGACCAGUGAUUUGACUGUCACCAACUUCUGCCCAACAGAGAGGUGAUCGGCACUUGCGUCCAUACAAUGCCUCGAACGGAGCGGCCUGGAUGCUGGUGUGGUAGCUGUUGUUAUAUGAAAACUCCACUAACGGGAGAUGCUUUUCCCAGCCGUUACCAAAAUCGAUUACACAUGCCCUAAGCAUGUCUUCAAGGGUUUGGAUGGUGCGUUCAGAUUGCCCAUCCGUCUGUGGGUGAUAGGCGGUGCUCAUAUCUAAACGUGAGCCAAAAGACUUGUGCAUGGCUUGCCACAGUUCAGAGGUGAAACGCGCGUCACGAUCAGAAAUGAUGGAGGUUGGCACUCCGUGCCUUGAUACCACUUCUUUUAGGUAGAUGUCUGCUAGAGUAGAAAACUUAUCCGUUUCUUUGAUAGGCAGAAAAUGUGCAGACUUGGUCAGUCGAUCUACGAUCACCCAGAUGGUAUCGUUUCCGCGUUGAGAUCUGGCGGAACCCAUAUGCGUCCGUUAACAUAGUAGGCGUCGUUUUCUUUUUGUUCUAGUCGUUGCCUCGAUCCUCGUAAGGACUCAGCCCUGAUGUUCUCUGCCUUCAAUGCUUCAACUUGAGCAUCGCGAAUCUGAGCGGGAAGGUUAGAUUGGAUGGUAAGCUAUAACGCACGUACACGCCUAGGUAUAGUAUCCUUUCGACUGAGGGCGUCAGCCACAACAUUGGCCUUGCCCGGAUGAUACUUGAUCGCGCAUUCGUAGUCAUUCAGGAGUUCGACCCAUCGACGUUGACGCAUGUUCAACUCCUUUUGCUUGAAGAUAUGCUCGAGACUCCUGUGAUCGGUGUAAAUGGUGCACUUGGUACCGUACAGGUAAUGUCUCCAUAUCUUAAGCGCGAAAACAACUGCUCCCAAUUCCAGAUCGUGUGUAGUGUAGUUCCUUUCGUGAACCUUAAGUUGGCGCGAUGCGUAGGCAAUGACCUUGUCACGUUGCAUCAACACACAACCAAGUCCUUGGAUGGAAGCAUCGCAGUAAACCACAAAAUCGUCUGUGCCUUCAGGCAAUGAGAGGAUAGGCGCGCUACAAAGUCUAUCCUUCAAGUGCUGAAAUGCGGACUCCUGUGCAUCACCCCAACGAUAGGUGACACCCUUCUGAGUCAGUGAAGUGAGAGGUUGCGCAAUCUUGGAGAAGUCUUUGAUAAACCUUCUGUAAUAUCCUGCCAGACCUAAGAAUUGGCGGAUCUCUGUUGGUGUGCGGGGUGCAGGCCAAUUCUUGAUCGAUUCAACCUUAGAUGGAUCCACAUGAAUCCCAUCCUUGUUUACCACAUGGCCCAGAAAAUGGACUUCGCGAAGCCAGAAGUCACAUUUCGAAAACUUGGCAUACAGCUGCUCUUUACGAAGUAGUUCCAGAAUAAGCCUCAGGUGUUGCUCGUGUUCCUCCUGACUCUUAGAAUAGAUCAGGAUGUCGUCGAUGAAGACUAUGACAAAUUUAUCCAAGUAAGGCUUGCACACUCGAUUCAUGAGGUCCAUGAAGACCGCUGGUGCAUUCGUCAGCCCGAAUGGCAUAACCAGAAACUCGUAAUGGCCGUAACGAGUCCUGAAUGCUGUUUUGGAGACGUCCUCCUCUCGGACUCUCAGCUGAUGGUAGCCUGACCUUAGGUCAAUCUUAGAAUAGAAGCUCGACCCUUGCAACUGGUCGAACAAGUCAUCAAUGCGUGGAAGAGGAUAACGAUUCUUCACGGUCACCUUGUUGAGUUCGCGGUAGUCAAUACACAUCCUGAAGGUACUGUCUUUCUUCUUUACGAACAAGACGGGAGCUCCCCAGGGCGAAGAGCUAGGACGUAUAAAACCCUUUUCCAAGAGCUCUUGUAGUUGCGUAGACAGUUCUUCGAGUUCUGAUGGAGCAAGUCGAUAAGGCGCACGAGCUAUUGGUGCUGCUCCAGGGGCUAGCUCGAUUUGAAACUCGACUUGUCGAUGAGGCGGAAGGCCAGGUAAUUCCUCAGGAAAUACCUCGGGAAAGUCGCGUACAAUAGGAAUGUCUUCUAUCUUCCUUUCUUCCGCGGAUGCCUCAGUAACGAGGGCUAGGAUAGCAGUGUGGCCCUUUCGUAAACACUUCUGGGCUUUAAGGAAAGAGAUGAUGCCUACAACAGCACCACUCUUGUCGCCACGAAUCACGAGGGGUUCCUUACUAGAACGAGGAAUACGGACGAUUUUCUCCUUGCAAAUAAUCUCCGCUUGGUGUCGAGAUAACCAAUCCAUCCCAAUGACAACGUCAAAACUACCCAGAACCAUAGGAAUGAGGUCGAUAGAGAGGGUCUGACCAGCUAAGACGGGGUUACAACCCUGAAAAUGCGUGUGUGCCCUUAAGACUUUCACCAUUAGCUAGUUCUACAACAUGUUUGGUGUUUUAAGG